GUUCUCCGGUGAGCUGCCGCGGUGGCGGACGAGAGGGGCUCGGUUCACGCGCCGGCGCCGGCGUGCCACGGGACGACAGGGAAGGAGCGGUGCCUAGCUGGGGAGUAGGCGUGCAAGGAAGGCUGGCCCGUGUUUUGUACUGGUGGCGAGGGGCGGUGAGAACGUGCCGAAUUCCGGGAGGGGGACGGGGGAAAGGGAAGGGAGGCGAUCGCGGCGUGGACGGAGCGCAGCGGGAUGAGAAAGCUCGGCGCGGUUUCGGCGAGCCGGGCGCGUACUGCGUCCUAUCCUGGCUAGCUGAUGGCGGUGGAGGUGCUGCCGGACUGGAUGGACUGCUGCCUGAUGAUGUGCUCUGCCCCGGCCGGGUGGGGUGCCGCCUUUUGUGCGGAACCGGGUUGGGGCACGCGGUGUGGAGGGGCCUC
rnacentral:rRNA from 1 species